rnacentral:rRNA from 1 species
CCUACGGGUGGCUGCAGUGGGGAAUAUUGCACAAUGGGGGAAACCCUGAUGCAGCGACGCCGCGUGAGUGAAGAAGUAUCUCGGUACGUAAAGCUCUAUCAGCAGGGAAGAAAAUGACGGUACCUGACUAAGAAGCCCCGGCUAACUACGUGCCAGCAGCCGCGGUAAUACGUAGGGGGCAAGCGUUAUCCGGAUUUACUGGGUGUACAGAGUUUCGUAGGUGGCAUAAUAAGUAGCUAGUGAAAUCUGGUGGCUCAACCAUUCAGACUAUUAGCUAAACUGUUAAGCUCGAGACCGUUAGGGGUAACUGGAAUUUCUAGUGUAGGAGUGAAAUCCGUAGAUAUUAGAAGGAACACCAAUAGCGUAGGCAGGUUGCUGGGACGGUUCUGACACUAAGGCACGAAAGCGUAGGGAGCAAACGGGAUUAGAUACCCUUGUAGUC